rnacentral:rRNA from 1 species
AUGAACGCUGGCGGCGUGCCUAAUACAUGCAAGUCGAGCGAACAGACGAGGAGCUUGCUCCUCUGACGUUAGCGGCGGAUGGGUGAGUAACACGUGGAUAACCUACCUAUAAGACUGGGAUAACUUCGGGAAACCGGAGCUAAUACCGGAUAACAUGUUGAACCGCAUGGUUCAACAGUGAAAGACGGUCUUGCUGUCACUUAUAGAUGGAUCCGCUCCGCAUUAGCUAGUUGGUAAGGUAACGGCUUACCAAGGCAACGAUGCGUAGCCGACCUGAGAGGGUGAUCGGCCACACUGGAACUGAGACACGGUCCAGACUCCUACGGGAGGCAGCAGUAGGGAAUCUUCCGCAAUGGGCGAAAGCCUGACGGAGCAACGCCGCGUGAGUGAAGAAGGUCUUCGGAUCGUAAAACUCUGUUAUUAGGGAAGAACAAAUGUGUAAGUAACUAUGCACGUCUUGACGGUACCUAAUCAGAAAGCCACGGCUAACUACGUG